GAUGAAGAACGGAGCGAAAUGCGAUAAGUAAUGUGAAUUGCAGAAUUCAGUGAAUCAUCGAAUCUUUGAACGCACAUUGCGCCCGCCAGUAUUCUGGCGGGCAUGCCUGUUCGAGCGUCAUUUCAACCCUCAAGCCCCCGGGCUUGGUGUUGGGGAUCGGCGUGCCCUCGCGGCGCGCCGUCCCCUAAAUCUAGUGGCGGUCUCGCUGUAGCUUCCUCUGCGUAGUAGCAACACUCGCACUGGAUCGCAGCGCGGCCACGCCGUUAAACCCCCCACUUCUGAAAGUUUGACCUCGGAUCAGGUAGGAAUACCCGCUGAACUUAAGCAUAUCAAUAAGCGGAGGA
rnacentral:misc_RNA from 1 species